CGCAGGCAGGGCAAACGGUAAGCCGCGCGGCUCAUAACCGCGAAAGAUCCGGUUCAACUCCGGAGCCUGCAACCA
rnacentral:tRNA from 2 species